rnacentral:rRNA from 1 species
AAGGUCCCCUCCUUUGGAGGGGCUGUUUUUUUUAAAUACAAAACCAACCCACUUUGUAGUGGAGUCUUGGUGAUUCAUAGUAACCGAACGGAUCGCAGUUGGUUCUUUUGGGCCCGCGAUGGAUCAUUCAAUUUUCUGACCUAUCACCUUUCGACGGUAGGGUAUUGCCCUACCGUGGCAGUGACGGGUAACGGGGAAUUAGGGUUCGAUUCCGGAAAGGGAGCCUGAGAAACGGCUACCACAUCUAAGGAAGGCAGCAGGCGCGCAAAUUACCCAAUGAAAACAGCUUCGAGGUAGUGACAAGAAAUAACAAUACAGGGCAUUUUAUGCUUUGUAAUUGGAAUGAUGGGAAUGUAAAACCCUUCCAAAGUAACAAUUGGAGGGCAAGUCUGGUGCCACCAGCCGCGGUAAUUCCAGCUCCAAUAGUGUAUAUUAGAGUUGUUGCAGUUAAAAAGCUCGUAGUUGGAUUUCUGUCGUGGUCAUCCGGCGUCGCCCGUAUGGGUGUGGGCCUGGCAUGCCCUCGGCUUAUUUCCGGUAGCCUUCCGCGCUUAAUUGCGUGUGUUGGUGUUCUGGAACUUUUACUUUGAAAAAAAAUAGAGUGUUUCAAGCAGGCUUGUCGCCUUGAAUACUGCAGCAUGAAAUAAUAAGAUAGGACCUCGGUUCUAUUUUGUUGGUUUCUAGGACCAAGGA